GUAGUCGGAUUCACAUCAAUCCACAUGUGUUGGGGUAGGUUGGAGUGGAACUUGAACUAAAUUUCACUCCAAUUCACUCCAAUACAUGUGGAUUGAGGUGAAUCUGACA
rfam:Sorghum bicolor cultivar BTx623 chromosome 8, whole genome shotgun sequence.